rnacentral:rRNA from 1 species
GUACACUCCUGCGGGAGGCAGCAGUGAGGAAUAUUGGACAAUGGGUGGAAGCCUGAUCCAGCCAUCCCGCGUGCAGGAAGACGGCCCUAUGGGUUGUAAACUGCUUUUAUCUGGGGAUAAACCUACUUACGUGUAAGUAGCUGAAGGUACCAGAAGAAUAAGCACCGGCUAACUCCGUGCCAGCAGCCGCGGUAAUACGGAGGGUGCAAGCGUUAUCCGGAUUUAUUGGGUUUAAAGGGUCCGUAGGCGGACUGAUAAGUCAGUGGUGAAAUCCGACAGCUUAACUGUCGAACUGCCAUUGAUACUGUUAGUCUUGAGUAAGGUUGAAGUGGCUGGAAUAAGUAGUGUAGCGGUGAAAUGCAUAGAUAUUACUUAGAACACCAAUUGCGAAGGCAAGUCACUAAGUCUUAACUGACGCUGAUGGACGAAAGCGUGGGGAGCGAACAGGAUUAGAAACCCCAGUAGUCCCAUG